rnacentral:rRNA from 1 species
GAUGAACGCUGGCGGCGUGCCUAAUACAUGCAAGUCGAGCGAACAGACGAGGAGCUUGCUCCUCUGACGUUAGCGGCGGACGGGUGAGUAACACGUGGAUAACCUACCUAUAAGACUGGGAUAACUUCGGGAAACCGGAGCUAAUACCGGAUAAUAUAUUGAACCGCAUGGUUCAAUAGUGAAAGACGGUUUUGCCGUCACUUAUAGAUGGAUCCGCGCCGCAUUAGCUAGUUGGUAAGGUAACGGCUUACCAAGGCAACGAUGCGUAGCCGACCUGAGAGGGUGAUCGGCCACACUGGAACUGAGACACGGUCCAGACUCCUACGGGAGGCAGCAGUAGGGAAUCUUCCGCAAUGGGCGAAAGCCUGACGGAGCAACGCCGCGUGAAUGAUGAAGGUCUUCGGAUCGUAAAACUCUGUUAUUAGGGAAGAACAAAUGUGUAAGUAACUAUGCACGUCUUGACGGUACCUAAUCAGAAAGCCACGGCUAACUACGUG